UUAACCGAAUAGGGGAGCCGGAGGGAAACCGAGUCUUAAUUGGGCGUUAAGUUGCAGGGUAUAGACCCGAAACCCGGUGAUCUAGCCAUGGGCAGGUUGAAGGUUGGGUAACACUAACUGGAGGACCGAACCGACUAAUGUUGAAAAAUUAGCGGAUGACCUGUGGCUGGGGGUGAAAGGCCAAUCAAACCGGGAGAUAGCUGGUUCUCCCCGAAAGCUAUUUAGGUAGCGCCUCGUGAAUUCAUCUCCGGGGGUAGAGCACUGUUUCGGCUAGGGGGCCAUCCCGGCUUACCAACCCGAUGCAAACUGCGAAUACCGGAGAAUGUUAUCACGGGAGACACACGGCGGGUGCUAACGUCCGUCGUGAAGAGGGAAACAACCCAGACCGCCAGCUAAGGUCCCAAAGUCAUGGUUAAGUGGGAAACGAUGUGGGAAGGCCCAGACAGCCAGGAUGUUGGCUUAGAAGCAGCCAUCAUUUAAAGAAAGCGUAAUAGCUCACUGGUCGAGUCGGCCUGCGCGGAAGAUGUAACGGGGCUAAACCAUGCACCGAAGCUGCGGCAGCGACGCUGAUGCGUUGUUGGGUAGGGGAGCGUUCUGUAAGCCUGUGAAGGUGGCCUGUGAGGGUUGCUGGAGGUAUCAGAAGUGCGAAUGCUGACAUAAGUAACGAUAAAGCGGGUGAAAAGCCCGCUCGCCGGAAGACCAAGGGUUCCUGUCCAACGUUAAUCGGGGCAGGGUGAGUCGACCCCUAAGGCGAGGCCGAAAGGCGUAGUCGAUGGGAAACGGGUUAAUAUUCCCGUACUUGGUGUUACUGCGAAGGGGGGACGGAGAAGGCUAUGUUGGCCGGGCGACGGUUGUCCCGGUUUAAGCGUGUAGGCUGGUUUUCCAGGCAAAUCCGGAAAAUCAAGGCUGAGGCGUGAUGACGAGGCACUACGGUGCUGAAGCAACAAAUGCCCUGCUUCCAGGAAAAGCCUCUAAGCAUCAGGUAACAUCAAAUCGUACCCCAAACCGACACAGGUGGUCAGGUAGAGAAUACCAAGGCGCUUGAGAGAACUCGGGUGAAGGAACUAGGCAAAAUGGUGCCGUAACUUCGGGAGAAGGCACGCUGACACGUAGGUGAAGUGAUUUACUCA
rnacentral:rRNA from 1 species